AACCUGGUUGAUCUUGCCAGUAGUCAUAUGCUUGUCUCAAAGAUUAAGCCAUGCAAGUGAAAGUAUAUAUAUAUUUUAUAUGUAGAAACUGCGAACGGCUCAUUAAAACAGUUAUAGUCUACUUGACAUUUUUAUUAUAAGGAUAACUACGGAAAAGCUGUAGCUAAUACUUGCUUUAUUAUCCUUUGAUUUUAUAUCUUAGGAUAAGUACUUGUUAGGCCUUAUAAGAAAAAAGUUAUUAACUUAAGGAAUUAUAACAAAGAAGUAACACGUAAUAAAUUUAUUUUAUUUAGUGUGUAUCAAUCGAGUUUCUGACCUAUCAGCUUUUGAUGUUAGGGUAUUGGCCUAACAUGGCUAUGACGGGUAACGGGGAAUUAGAGUUCGAUUCCGGAGAGGGAGCCUGAGAAAUAGCUACCACAUCUAAGGAAGGCAGCAGGCGCGUAAAUUACCCAAUUCUAAAGAAGAGAGGUAGUGACAAGAAAUAACAAUGCAAGGCCAAUUUUUGGUUUUGUAAUUGGAAUGGUGGGAAUUUAAAACCUUCCCAGAGUAACAAUUGGAGGGCAAGUCUGGUGCCAGCAGCCGCGGUAAUUCCAGCUCCAAUAGCGUAUAUUAAAAUUGUUGCAGUUAAAACGCUCGUAGUUGAAUUUCAAAGAAUCGAUAUUUUAUUGUAACUAUAUUAGGGGAACUAUUUUAGCUUCGCGCUUUAAUACGCUUCCUCUAUUAUUAUGUUCUUUAAAUAACAAAGAUUCUUUUUAAAAUCCCCACUUUUGCUUUUAUGCUUUUUGGGGAUUUUGUUACUUUGAGUAAAUUAGAGUGUUCAAAGCAAACAGUUAAAGCAUUUUACUGUGUUUGAAUACUAUAGCAUGGAAUAACAAAAUUGAACAGGCUGAAAUUUUUUGUUCUUUUUUCUUAUUUUGGCUUAGUUACGAUUAAUAGGAGUAGCUUGGGGACAUUCGUAUUCAGAUGUCAGAGGUGAAAUUCUUAGAUUUUCUGGAGACGAACAACUGCGAAAGCAUUUGUCUAAAAUACUUCCAUUAAUCAAGAACGAAAGUUAAGGGAGUGAAGACGAUCAGAUACCGUCGUAAUCUUAACCAUAAACUAUGCCGACUAGGUGUUGGAUGAAAGUGUUAAAAAUAAAAGUCAUCUUUCGAGGUGACUUUUAGAUUGCUUCCUUCAGUACCUUAUGAGAAAUCAAAGUCUUUGGGUUCUGGGGCGAGUAUUCGCGCAAGCGAGAAAGUUAAAAGAAUUGACGGAAGGGCACCACCAGGCGUGGAGCUUGCGGCUUAAUUUGACUCAACACGGGGAAACUCACUAGUUUAAGACAAGAGUAGGAUUGACAGAUUAAUAGCUCUUUCUUGAUUUCUUGGAUGGUGAUGCAUGGCCGUUUUUAGUUCGUGAAUAUGAUUUGUCUGGUUAAUUCCGAUAACGAACGAGAUCUUAACCUGCUAAUUAGCGGUAAGUACGCUAUAUUCUUAAUUGAAAUUGAAUAUAGGUAAUUAUACAUUUAUUCAGUGUUCAAAUUAGGAUAUUUUUAUUAAAAUAUCCUUUUCCCUGUUCUACUAAUAAUUUGUUUUUUACUCUAUUUCUUUCUUCUUUUAAGAAUGUACUUGCUUGAUUGUAAAGCUUCUUAGAGGAACAUUGUGUGUCUAACACAAGGAAGUUUAAGGCAACAACAGGUCUGUGAUGUCCUUAGAUGAACUAGGCUGCACGCGUGCUACACUGAUAUAUAUAACGAGUUAUUAAAAAUAUGCAUUUAUUUGUAUCUCUGAUACUUAUAUUUUGCAUACUUUUCCUCCGCCGAAAGGCGUAGGUAAUCUUUAUCAAUAUAUAUCGUGAUGGGGAUAGAUUAUUGCAAUUAUUAAUCUUGAACGAGGAAUGCCUAGUAAGCAUGAUUCAUCAGAUUGUGCUGACUACGUCCCUGCCCUUUGUACACACCGCCCGUCGCUCCUACCGAUUGAAAGAUAUGAUGAAUUGUUUGGACAAGAAAAAUGGAAUUAUAUUCUUUUUUUUCUGGAAAAACCGUAAAUCCUAUCUUUUAAAGGAAGGAGAAGUCGUAACAAGGUUUCCGUAGGUGAACCUGCGGAAGGAUCAUUA
rnacentral:rRNA from 1 species